UGAACAUGUUGGGAUUUGCUAGGCAUUUCCACUCUGAGAAGCAGAGGGGCCAGCAGAAGGAUCAGUGUAGUAAGUGCAUAUUGGACUGAUGAACGCCAUAUCCCAGCCUCUGAUGGGCAUGAAAAGCAAUGUUCAACAUUUUGCUAAUUUUGCUCUGGUCAGUGUCCCAAACUAGCAGAAACCCAAGGUACUCCACAUCAUAACAUCGUGUAGUGCACUGGGAGUUAAAGAGUUAAUGCUCCAGUUCCAUGGAUUGUGGAUAGUUCCAGGUACCUGUCCCAAAAGAGAAUAACUAAAACUCCCAGAGGACUGUUAGCUGUUUUGUUACCGUUUUCUGCUCAGAGGGAAAGUCAAAAACUGUUCGCAGAACAUGAGACCUCCCUUUUUCCACCUUCCAGCUUGUCUCUGUUGCGGGUGCCAUAUUGCCUCAGCUUACUUACUGUAAGGCCUUCAGUUUUUUGGAUGCUCA
ensembl:lncRNA